rnacentral:rRNA from 1 species
GAUGAACGCUGGCGGCGUGCCUAAUACAUGCAAGUCGAGCGAACGGACGAGAAGCUUGCUUCUCUGAUGUUAGCGGCGGACGGGUGAGUAACACGUGGAUAACCUACCUAUAAGACUGGGAUAACUUCGGGAAACCGGAGCUAAUACCGGAUGAUAUUUUGAACCGCAUGGUUCAAAAGUGAAAGACGGUCUUGCUGUCACUUAUAGAUGGAUCCGCGCUGCAUUAGCUAGUUGGUAAGGUAACGGCUUACCAAGGCAACGAUGCAUAGCCGACUUGAGGGGGUGAUCGGCCACACUGGAACUGAGACACGGUCCAGACUCCUACGGGAGGCAGCAGUAGGGAAUCUUCCGCAAUGGGCGAAAGCCUGACGGAGCAACGCCGCGUGAGUGAUGAAGGUCUUCGGAUCGUAAAACUCUGUUAUUAGGGAAGAACAUAUGUGUAAGUAACUGUGCACAUCUUGACGGUACCUAAUCAGAAAGCCACGGCUAACUACGUG